rnacentral:rRNA from 1 species
UACGUAGGGUGCGAGCGUUAAUCGGAAUUACUGGGCGUAAAGCGUGCGCAGGCGGUUAUUUAAGUCAGGUGUGAAAGCCCUGGGCUUAACCUAGGAAUUGCGCUUGAGACUGGAUAGCUUGGAGUGCGGCAGAGGGAGGUGGAAUUCCACGUGUAGCAGUGAAAUGCGUAGAGAUGUGGAGGAACACCGAUGGCAAAGGCAGCCUCCUGGGCCAGCACUGACGCUCAUGCACGAAAGCGUGGGGAGCAAACAGG